GCUUCGUCUCUGUAUCUGACUCAGACUGGCCUGGCUUCUGCUGUUCACCCACCUUUCCCCCUCAUCUGGGAUCCUGCAUGGCCCAUGCAAGUCUGUUAUGUUAACUAAUGGGAUCACCAUGACUGGCUGGAGUUAUUUUCCAGGGCUGCUAUCUUUGAGAGGGUCCCCAUCAGUCAGACCCAAGAGAGAGUCAAGGAGAAGAGCUGCUCAUGGGGCCACACUGGUCAGCUCCCAGGGUCAACAGCAGGUAGACAAUGGCUGCGAGGGGAAAACAGAAGCAACAUAGGUUUACUACAAAGAACUCAGAAGAGACAGAAAAACAAAAGAAACGUCUAAUAACCUACAAUUUCCCUGCUCCAGAUGCAAAUACUAAGAUGCAACUAUGAUUAGUUAUAUUUGAUCCAUCUGUGUAUUUUCACUUACUAAAAUUAGGUCUGCUUUGUGUACUGCUCCGUAUUAUGCCCUUUAAGGACAAUAUAUUAGAAGCAUCUUUUCAUAUCUAGAAAUAUAUUUCUAUGGUAUCUUUUUAGUUAUCACAAAGUAUUCUGUUAGUGGGUAUUCCAUACCCAUUAUCAAUUCUCUGGGGUUGGGCAUUGAUGAUGUUUGUUUUGGUUUAGUUCUUUUGUUCUGUUAACCUUAAAAAUAAACACUACCUGUUAU